GGGUGGCAAUUGGCAUGAUGAAUGGCUCAUCAGAGACGAAAAUGCCCUUUCCCCCUUGAGAAAAACAUUUUGUAAAUUAACCGCGAGAAUUAGUCCUGCGUAGUCUGUGAAAUUGCCGUCUCAAUUUUCCCGGUACCAUUGAAAUUCAUCUGAAAUUGUGUUGAUGGACUAACCCUAGCUUCAUCAGCAUCCUCGUCCACCGGUGAUCUAUCGCCACAAGAAGAAGCUUGGCUCACUACCAGCCUGUCAUUCCAGUUUCAAUAUCAAGAGUUAAUCAGGUAGAUGCAGCAAGAUUGGACAUUGAAAUGUCGGCCAUGCUAAAGGAACAGUUGGUCAAGGUUUUCUCUUUGAUGAAGCCAGGAAUGUAUUUCAAUAUGAGCCAGAACUUGAUGCUUUCUUGGAGUUCCUUAUCUGGCGUUUUUCUAUCUGGGUUAAUAAGCCUACACCGGUAAUGCUCUAAUGAAUUUGAGGUAUAGAGAUAAACGUGCGGUUGAAGUGAGAGGAAAAGGUUAGAUAUCGUCUCUUAAUUAAUCCUUUUGUCACUUUGUGUAAGUUGCAGCUAAGAAACGCUUCUUUAUUUACUGUUCAAAAAGAAAAAAGUUGCUCUUAUAAAAAAUCCUUUUUUUCUAUAUUAAUCAGUUGGAUGCUAUGUUGUUGCUUGCACUAAUUUCACUAUUUUCUUCAAUUGCUGGCGUUGAAGUUGUUCAAAUUUGGGACAUUUAAUGUUUGUACGUCUUGGGAAUUGGGACGUGAAGAGAAUAGUUGUUGAAAAACUUAUUAAAUACUUAAGGUUAAUGUUCAGGCAUUCACCUUGAUUUG